CCUACGGGUGGCUGCAGUGGGGAAUAUUGGACAAUGGGGGCAACCCUGAUCCAGCCAUGCCGCGUGUGUGAAGAAGGCCCUCGGGUUGUAAAGCACUUUCAGUGAGGAAGAACGCCUGGUGGUUAAUACCCAUCAGGAAAGACAUCACUCACAGAAGAAGCACCGGCUAACUCCGUGCCAGCAGCCGCGGUAAUACGGAGGGUGCAAGCGUUAAUCGGAAUUACUGGGCGUAAAGCGCGCGUAGGUGGCUUGAUAAGCCGGUUGUGAAAGCCCCGGGCUCAACCUGGGAACGGCAUCCGGAACUGUCAAGCUAGAGUGCAGGAGAGGAAGGUAGAAUUCCCGGUGUAGCGGUGAAAUGCGUAGAGAUCGGGAGGAAUACCAGUGGCGAAGGCGGCUUUCUGGACUGACACUGACACUGAGGUGCGAAAGCGUGGGUAGCAAACAGGAUUAGAUACCCCUGUAGUC
rnacentral:rRNA from 1 species